rnacentral:rRNA from 1 species
UACGUAGGUGGCGAGCGUUGUCCGGAAUUACUGGGUGUAAAGCGCGUGUAGGCGGGAGGCCAAGUCUGUGGUGAAAUCGCUCGGCUUAACUGGGCGGGGUCCAUGGAAACUGGUCACCUGGAGGUCGGUAGAGGCAAGUGGAAUUCCCGGUGUAGUGGUGAAAUGCGUAGAGAUCGGGAGGAACACCAGUGGCGAAGGCGGCUUGCUGGGCCGGACCUGACGCUGAGACGGCGAAGGCGUGGGGAGCGAACGGG